rnacentral:rRNA from 1 species
AGUUUGAUCAUGGCUCAGAAUCAACGCUGGCGGCGUGCCUCAGACAUGCAAGUCGAACGCGAAAGUCCCCUUCGGGGGACAAGUAGAGUGGCGCACGGGUGAGUAACACGUAGGUAAUCUACCUUCGGAUGGGGAAUAACAAUCGGAAACGGUUGCUAAUACCGCAUAAUGCAGCGGCACCUAAUGGUGACAGUUGUUAAAGCGGGGGAUCGAAAGACCUCGCGUCUGAAGAGGAGCCUGCGGCGGAUUAGCUAGUUGGUAAGGUAAUGGCUUACCAAGGCUACGAUCCGUAACCGGCCUGAGAGGGCGGUCGGUCACACUGACACUGACAUACGGGUCAGACUCCUACGGGAGGCAGCAGUCGGGAAUUUUGGGCGAUGGGCGAAAGCCUGACCCAGCAACGCCGCGUGAAGGAUGAAAUCCCUCGGGAUGUAAACUUCGCAAGAACAGGAAGAAUAAGUAGGGGACAAUACCCCCUAUGAUGACGGUACUGUUUGUAAGCUCCGGCUAACUCCGUGCCAGCAGCCGCGGUAAUACGGGGGGAGCAAGCGUUGUUCGGAUUUACUGGGCGUAAAGGGCGCGUAGGCGGCCAGCACAAGUCAGUUGUGAAAUCUCCGAGCUUAACUCGGAAAGGUCAACUGAUACUGUGCGGCUAGAGUGCAGAAGGGGCAACUGGAAUUCUCGGUGUAGCGG